rnacentral:rRNA from 1 species
AAAACUUUCAACAACGGACCUCUUGGUUCUCGCAUCGAUGAAGAACGCAGCGAAACGCGAUAUGUAAUGUGAAUUGCAGAAUGUGAAUCAUCGAAUCUUUGAACGCACAUUGCACCUUCUGGUAUUCCAGAAGGUAUACCUGUUUGAGCGUCAGUU